AGUGAACGCUGGCGGUAGGCCUAACACAUGCAAGUCGAACGGCAGCACAGUAAGAGCUUGCUCUUCCGGGUGGCGGGUGGCGGACGGGUGAGGAAUACAUCGUAAUCUACUUUUUCGUGGGGGAUAACGUAGGGAAACUUACGCUAAUACCGCAUACGACCUACGGGUGAAAGCAGGGGAUCUUCGCACCUUGCGCGAUUGAAUGAGCCGAUGUCGGAUUAGCUAGUUGGCGGGGUAAAGGCCCACCAAGGCGACGAUCCGUAGCUGGUCUGAGAGGAUGAUCAGCCACACUGGAACUGAGACACGGUCCAGACUCCUACGGGAGGCAGCAGUGGGGAAUAUUGGACAAUGGGCGCAAGCCUGAUCCAGCCAUACCGCGUGGGUGAAGAAGGCCUUCGGGUUGUAAAGCCCUUUUGUUGGGAAAGAAAAGCAGCAGGUUAAUACCCCGCUGUUCUGACGGUACCCAAAGAAUAAGCACCGGCUAACUUCGUG
rnacentral:rRNA from 1 species